UACAGAGGGUGCGAGCGUUGUCCGGAAUCACUGGGCGUAAAGGGCGCGUAGGCGGUUUUGUAAGUUGGGGGUGAAAUGCUGCGGCUCAACCGCAGCGCUGCCCUCAAGACUGCAAGACUUGAGCACGGUAGAGGCGGAUGGAAUUCCCGGUGUAGCGGUGGAAUGCGUAGAGAUCGGGAAGAACACCAAUGGCGAAGGCGGCUUCCUGGACUAAUACUGACGCUGAGGUGCGAAAGCGUGGGGAGCAAACAGG
rnacentral:rRNA from 1 species